AUUGAACGCUGGCGGCAUGCUUUACACAUGCAAGUCGAAUGGUAACAGGCCGCAAGGUGCUGACGAGUGGCGAACGGGUGAGUAAUGCAUCGGAACGUGCCCAGUCGUGGGGGAUAACGCAGCGAAAGCUGCGCUAAUACCGCAUACGAUCUAUGGAUGAAAGCGGGGGACCGUAAGGCCUCGCGCGAUUGGAGCGGCCGAUGUCAGAUUAGGUAGUUGGUGGGGUAAAGGCUCACCAAGCCAACGAUCUGUAGCUGGUCUGAGAGGACGACCAGCCACACUGGGACUGAGACACGGCCCAGACUCCUACGGGAGGCAGAAGUGGGGAAUUUUGGACAAUGGGCGCAAGCCUGAUCCAGCAAUGCCGCGUGCAGGAAGAAGGCCUUCGGGUUGUAAAGCUCUUUUGUCAGGGAAGAAACGGUUCUGGCUAAUACCCGGAGCCAAUGACGGUACCUGAAGAAUAAGCACCGGCUAACUACGUGCCAGCCGCCGCCGUAACAC
rnacentral:rRNA from 1 species